UGCCGCGUGUGUGAAAGAAGGCCUUCGGGUUGUAAAGCACGUUUGUACGGGAAGAAAGGCACCUGGUUAAUACCCGGGUGUCAUGACGGUACCGUAAGAAUAAGCACCGGCUAACUUCGUGCCAGCAGCCGCGGUAAUACGAAGGGUGCAAGCGUUACUCGGAAUUACUGGGCGUAAAGCGUGCGUAGGUGGUUUGUUAAGUCUGAUGUGAAAGCCCUGGGCUCAACCUGGGAAUUGCAUUGGAUACUGGCAGUCUAGAGUGCGGUAGAGGGUAGCGGAAUUCCCGGUGUAGCAGUGAAAUGCGUAGAUAUCGGGAGGAGCAUCCGUGGCGAAGGCGGCUACCUGGACCAGCACUGACACUGAGGCACGAAAGCGUGGGGAGCAAACAGGAUUAGAUACCCUGGUAGUCCACGCCCUAAACGAUGCGAACUGGAUGUUGGGGGCAAUUGAGCCUUCAGUAUCGAAGCUAACGCGUUAAGUUCGCCGCCUGGGAAGUACGGUCGCAAGACUG
rnacentral:rRNA from 1 species